rfam:Fomitopsis pinicola FP-58527 SS1 unplaced genomic scaffold FOMPIscaffold_61, whole genome shotgun sequence.
GGCUCAAUGGUGUAGUGGUUAUCACACCUGUCUUACAAGGGACACAGGUGGUCGCCGGUUCGAUCCCGGCUUGAGUCA